rnacentral:tRNA from 1 species
GCCCAACCAGUAGGGUGGCAAAGACCUUCGGCUUGUAACCGAGUGGGUUCGGGUUCGAAUCCCGAGUAAGACA